CCCUUAGUUUGAUCCUGGCUCAGGAUGAACGCUGGCGGCGUGCCUAAUACAUGCAAGUCGAGCGGAAAGGCUCCUCCAGUUUAUUUAAACGGUGAGACAGGUCGCGUAAAUUUCAAAGAAAUUUACGCAUCUAAAACGAAGUGAUGAACUUCAGCUUACCACCUAAUCUACAAAAGUAGAGAGGCAGUUUAAAUAAAGUGGUGGAGUACUCGAGCGGCGGACGGCUGAGUAACGCGUAGGAACAUACCCCAAACUGAGGGAUAACUGCUCGAAAGAGUAGCUAAUACCGCAUGUGGUCUUCGGAUUAAAGCUUCGGCGGUUUGGGAAUGGCCUGCGUAUGAUUAGAUUGUUGGUGAGGUAACGGCUCACCAAGUCGACGAUCAUUAGCUGGUCUGAGAGGAUGAUCAGCCAGACUGGGACUGAGAACGGCCCAGACUCCUACGGGAGGCAGCAGUAGGGAAUUUUCCACAAUGGACGAAAGUCUGAUGGAGCAACGCCGCGUGCAGGAUGAAUGCCCUUGGGUUGUAAACUGCUUUUAUAAGUGACGAAUAUGACGGUAACUUAUGAAUAAGGACCGGCUAACUCCGUGCCAGCAGCCGCGGUCAUACGGAGGGUCCAAGCGUUAUCCGGAAUUACUGGGCGUAAAGAGUUGCGUAGGUGGCAUUGUAAGUAGAUAGUGAAAGCGUUCGGCUCAACCGAAUAUACAUUAUCUAAACUGCAAAGCUAGAGGGCGAGAGA
rnacentral:rRNA from 1 species